GUGGACGUAGCUCAACGGUUAGAGCACUAGACUGUGGAUCUAGGUGUUGAGGGUUCGAAUCCCUUCGUCCACCCCA
rnacentral:tRNA from 1 species